CUGAGAUCCCCACAAGCAUAGGAAUGAAACGCUGGCCACAAAGCUAAAAGAAAUGUCAAACUGCUGAAUGCAAUCUGGAAAAGAUAUAGGGAAGAAUCUACAAAUUACAGAGAGAGAAGCACGAAAACAGAGCAGGGAGAGAAUAUCUGCAGUAGCUGAAGAGCUCCGCAAGGUGCAGUGUUGGGAAGGGUACAGUUGUACCUUGGUUCUUGAAGUGCCAGUACCAGGUGUCCAUGUUUCAGCUGCAGAACCAUGGGAUGUAGGCAAGGUGCAGCAGUGGUGGGCUUUGCAACACCGACUCCAGUGUACACAUCACCACACAAAAGGUACUGUGCCAAAAAUACCUAUUAUAUAAACUCUCUUAACCAUGCAGAUAAGGAAGGGUACUGUUGCAGAACCAUAGUUGAGUGAAUAAAUAAGUUUCUGAAGGAGGAAGAAUUUUAUGAAGGAUUCCAUGGUAUCCAAAUGCGACUAUCAGCAUCCCGUCCCCCUCUUCUCUUCUGUGGUGACCAGCUUCAGGCUUACAGGCAGCAGUGCUCGGCACGGUGCUCUCCAGCCUUGGCAUUAGGAUGUUCCCAAAACCAGGCUGGGAUUGUCAAGCCUUAGAAGCUAGGGAAAUUCUUUUCCAGAAGGCUG
ensembl:lncRNA